GGGACUAUAGUUAACAAUAACACUUGAGUUGCAUUCAAGAAGUACUACCCAGAUAGUUGGUCUCA
rnacentral:tRNA from 1 species